rnacentral:rRNA from 1 species
AGAACGAACGCUGGCGGCAUGCCUAACACAUGCAAGUCGAACGCUCACCGGGCUUCGGUUCGGUGGGAGUGGCGCACGGGUGAGUAGCGCGUGGGAACCUGCCCUGUUGUGGGGGAGUAACCGAGGGAAACUUCGGCUAAUACCGCAUGCGCCCGGGGAAACCCGGGGAAAGAUUUAUCGCAGCAGGAGGGGCCCGCGUCGGAUUAGGUAGUUGGUAGGGUAACGGCCUACCAAGCCUUUGAUCCGUAGCUGGUCUGAGAGGAUGAUCAGCCACACUGGGACUGAGACACGGCCCAGACUCCUACGGGAGGCAGCAGUGGGGAAUAUUGGACAAUGGGCGCAAGCCUGAUCCAGCAAUGCCGCGUGAGUGAUGAAGGCCUUAGGGUUGUAAAGCUCUUUCGCCCGCGACGAUGAUGACGGUAGCGGGAGAAGAGCCCCGGCUAACUUCGUGCCAGCAGCCGC